GAUAAUGCACAGCAUGGGGCAAGA
rnacentral:piRNA from 1 species